AUUGAACGCUGGCGGCAGGCCUAACACAUGCAAGUCGAACGGUAACAGGGAUCCGCUUGCUUAUUCGCUGACGAGUGGCGGACGGGUGAGUAAUGUCUGGGAAACUGCCUGAUGGAGGGGGAUAACUACUGGAAACGGUAGCUAAUACCGCAUAACGUCGCAAGACCAAAGAGGGGGACCUUCUGGCCUCUUGCCAUCGGCUGUGCCCAGAUGGGAUUAGCUAGUAGGUGGGGUAACGGCUCACCUAGGCGACGAUCCCUAGCUGGUCUGAGAGGAUGACCAGCCACACUGGAACUGAGACACGGUCCAGACUCCUAAGGGAGGCAGCAGUGGGGAAUAUUGCACAAUGGGGGAAAGCCUGAUGCAGCCAUGCCGCGUGUAUGAAGAAGGCCUUCGGGUUGUAAAGUACUUUCAGCGGGGAGGAAGGGAGUAAAGUUAAUACCUUUGCUAAUUGACGUUACCCGAAGAAGAAGCACCGGCUAACUCCGUG
rnacentral:rRNA from 1 species